GACGAACGCUGGCGGCGUGCUUAACACAUGCAAGUCGAACGAAGAGCGAUGGAAGCUUGCUUCUAUCAAUCUUAGUGGCGCACGGGUGAGUAACGCGUAAUCAACCUGCCCUUCAGAGGGGGACAACAGUUGGAAACGACUGCUAAUACCGCAUACGAUCUAAUCUCGGCAUCGAGGAUAGAUGAAAGGUGGCCUCUACAUGUAAGCUAUCACUGAAGGAGGGGAUUGCGUCUGAUUAGCUAGUUGGGGGGGAAAAGGCCCAACAAGGCGAGGAUCAGUAGCCGGUCUGAGAGGAUGAACGGCCACAUUGGGACUGAGACACGGCCCAGACUCCUACGGGAGGCAGCAGUGGGGAAUCUUCCGCAAUAGACGAAAGUCUGACGGAGCAACGCCGCGUGAGCGAUGACGGCCUUCGGGUUGGAAAGCUCUGUUAAUCGGGACGAAAGGCCUUCUUGCGAAUAGUGAGAAGGAUUGACGGUACCGGAAGAGAAAGCCACGGCUAACUACGUG
rnacentral:rRNA from 1 species